UACGUAGGGUGCGAGCGUUGCCCGGAUUUAUUGGGCGUAAAGGGCGCGUAGGCGGCUCGGCACGUCCGUUGUGAAAUCGCCCGGCUCAACUGGGCGGGGUCAGCGGAUACGGUCGAGCUUGAGCAAGCUAGGGGGCAAUGGAAUUCCCGGUGUAGUGGUGGAAUGCGUAGAUAUCUGGAGGAACACCGGUGGCGAAGGCGGCAUCCUGGACCGAGAUUGACGCUGAGGCGCGAAAGCCAGGGGAGCAAACGGG
rnacentral:rRNA from 1 species